CCCAGGAGAGGUCGAACCCAACUGAUGGAACCUCAGAGCUGUUGCAGUUCAUGGAGCGUCGUGGGAUUGUUUUUGAUGACAAUUGCCUGAGGCACUCUUGUUUGUUCUUUGACUCGCAGUCCCAGGUCCACUGAUGACCACCUUCCAUUUUGAUCACCAAGAAUUUGCGACUCCACCAAUUCCAGAAAUGAGCCCUCCAAUUGGCUCCAGUUCCCAGUCAGAGGCCCAUUCUGACCCAGUGAUCAGGGUAAGAUGGGCCCCAGCGUCUCACAUCCCUAACCUUCUGAUCUUUUUGCCUUUGGAGAACAGGGAGCACUUGAUGAUGGGCUUGUUGUCUCCCAUCCACUGCAGCCAAAAGGUGGCGGGGUUAGGGGGAACAGUUUCUGGAAAGCCUCUUGGUAACAAAAAGACUUGUGCUAUAGGAACUCCUGCAGGUAGGAAGUAUGGGUAGUCUAAACACAUAACAGAG